rnacentral:rRNA from 1 species
UACGAGGGCCCCGAGCGUUAUCCGGAUUUAUUGGGCGUAAAGAGCGAGUAGGCGGUCUUGUAAGUUUCGUGUCAAAUACCGGGGCUCAACCUCGGAUCAGCGCGGAGGACUGCAAGACUAGAGGGUGCUAGAGGCUACUGGAACUCACAGUGUAGGGGUGAAAUCCGUUGAUAUUGUGGGGAACACCGAAGGCGAAGGCAGGUAGCUGGGGCAUCCCUGACGCUCAAUCGCGAAAGCGUGGGGAUCAAAAAGG